rnacentral:rRNA from 1 species
UUUUGCAUAUUCAAAAGCGGAGGAAAAGAAACCAACCGGGAUUGCCUCAGUAACGGCGAGUGAAGCGGCAAAAGCUCAAAUUUGAAAUCCUUCGGGAGUUGUAAUUUGUAGAGGGGUGUCUUUGGGGCGGCAUUGUCUAUGUUCCUUGGAACAGGACGUCACAGAGGGUGAGAAUCCCGUGCGAUGAUGCCUCAACCAGUACAAGACCCUCUCGACGAGUCGAGUUGUUUGGGAAUGCAGCUCUAAGUGGGUGGUAAAUUCCAUCUAAAGCUAAAUACUGGCGAGAGACCGAUAGCGAACAAGUACAGUGAUGGAAAGAUGAAAAGCACUUUGAAAAGAGAGUGAAACAGUACGUGAAAUUGUUGAAAGGGAAGGGUAGGAGGUGAGGGGAAGAGCUGCUUAGGCGCGGGAGAUAAACAAGCAGGAAGCGCUUCGGUGCGGCCUGGUAAAUAUCCCGUGCUUGUGUGGUUCUUCCGUAAUCCCCUUCUACCGCCCGUCUUGAACCACGGAACCAA